GAUAAGAUGGCUGAAGUUAAUAGGCGUUAAAUUGUAAAUUUAAUUAUAGAUGUUAAUCUUCUUAUCC
rnacentral:tRNA from 1 species